GGGACGAGCUGGACCGGACAGGCCUGGCCGCCGGCGUCGGCGCGUACGUGCUGUGGGGCAUGUUCCCGGCGUUCUGGCCGCUGCUCGAUCCG
rnacentral:tRNA from 2 species